AAAGCUCAAAUUUGAAAUCUGGCAGUCUGUUGGCUGUCCGAGUUGUAAAUUGGAGAAGUGUCAUCCGCGCUGGCCUGUGCACAAGUCCUUUGGAAAAGGGCAUCAUAGAGGGUGACAAUCCCGUCUCUGGCACAGACUACCAGGGCUUUUGUGAUGUGCUCUCAACGAGUCGAGUUGUUUGGGAAUGCAGCUCUAAAUGGGUGGUAAAUUCCAUCUAAAGCUAAAUAUUGGCGAGAAACCGAUAGUGCA
rnacentral:rRNA from 1 species